AUGUCUCUGAUGGCCUCCAAAGAGAGUAUGGGCUGAACUCCAUCCUCUUUUUUCUGUGUUCUGGAGGUGUUCUCAGCCCUGCUCCCUCCACCUCUGCACCUGAUGUCCUUGCCAAGCACAUUAGGAAGAAGCUCCAGCAUACACCUCAAAGCAGGUCAUGAAUUAUUAAGGAGGGAGAUUACCUUAACUGGAACGUAUGUGGCUGUUCCAUCAGUGAAGUUGGGGAUCGCUCUGAGGAACGGACAGGUUUCCCGUGGAGGUUUAGAAACCUGAAACUGUAAAGCUCUCCUUGCUUUCCCCACCUCUUACGGGAAGCCUGCAACAGCUUACAGAAACUUCUGCUCCUCAUCACUCCAUCCUGCUCUGGACUGGAUAAAAACAUCUUCAGGUUCUGGACAGGCUUUGUACUGCAGUGGAAAUAAGGUACAAGACCAAUAAAUAAGGACCAAUAUUGGCAGCACUGAGCCUCUUGCACGCCCCUCUUCAAGCACUCGUAUGUCUCCACUCCAAACUCUCCGGAUCACCUUCUGAAUUCAUAACUGAGAUGAGCAUUGGACUCUGCAUUAAGUAGAAGCUGUCCCUUGGGUCUCAUAGGCGAUGGUAGGAACAUCUCAGUUCCUGAGUUUAUAUUCUCAUAAAUCUUGAAGAAGGUGAUUUUUCCUUUCUUUUUUUUUUUUCUUCUCCUCCCUCUCUCUCUCUCCCUUCUUUAAUUACCAGCCACAGGCAUGGCACUGAUGAACAGCACUGUGCCAGGCAUGCUCUCCUUGUCUUGUCCUGAGCAUGGAUCCUGCCCUGCCAGCUAUGCACCAGCGUGGCACUAACAGCAGGUGUCCUUGCAGAAUUGCCAAAAACCCAUCCCUAUGGAGAUUACCAAGGGCUCCGUUAUGCUCCACAGGGAUGGCAACACAGUGACAGCAAACAGGACUGCAGAUUAUUUGCAACUCCUCUCCUUUGUACAGCUAAGUUGACGCCAACACAGCGGUAGCAACAUGGGAUCCAGGGAGGACCCACAACCUCCUCUCUGCUAAAUCCAUUCACCCCUUGGGAUUUUUUUGGGAGAGCAAAUAUUUUAUGC